UGGGGAAUAUUGCACAAUGGGCGAAAGCCUGAUGCAGCAACGCCGCGUGAGUGAUGAAGGCCUUCGGGUUGUAAAGCUCUGUCUUUUGGGACGAUAAUGACGGUACCAAAGGAGGAAGCCACGGCUAACUACGUGCCAGCAGCCGCGGUAAUACGUAGGUGGCAAGCGUUGUCCGGAUUUACUGGGCGUAAAGGAUGCGUAGGCGGAUUUUUAAGUGAGAUGUGAAAUACCCGGGCUUAACUUGGGUGCUGCAUUUCAAACUGGGAAUCUAGAGUGCGGGAGAGGAGAAUGGAAUUCCUAGUGUAGCGGUGAAAUGCGUAGAGAUUAGGAAGAACACCAGUGGCGAGGGCGAUUCUCUGGACCGUAACUGACGCUGAGGCAUGAAAGCGUGGGUAGCAAACAGGAUUAGAUACCCUGGUAGUCCACGCCGUAAACGAUGAGUACUAGGUGUAGGAGGUAUCGACCCCUUCUGUGCCGCAGUUAACACAAUAAGU
rnacentral:rRNA from 1 species